rnacentral:rRNA from 1 species
AUUGAACGCUGGCGGCAGGCCUAACACAUGCAAGUCGAGCGAGCGGCGGACGGGUGAGUAAUGUAUGGGGACUGCCCGAUAGAGGGGGGUAACAACUGGAAACGGUAUCUAAUACAGCAUACUAUCGGAGAACCCAGAUGGGGUUAGCUAGUAGGUGAGGUAAUGGCUCACCUAGGCGACGAUCCCUAGCUGGUCUGAGAGGAUGUUCCACCAAACUGGGACUGAGACACGGCCCAGACUCCUACGGAGGCAGCAGUGGGGAAUAUUGCACAAUGGGCGCAAGCCUGAUGCAGCCAUGCCGCGUGUAUGAAGAAGGCCCUAGGGUUGUAAAGUACUUUCAGUCGGGAGGCGUUACCGACAGAAGAAGCACCGGCUAACUCCGUGCCAGCAGCCGCGGUAAUUC